CGUCGCCGCCCGGCAACGCCUCUUCGAUUGGCACCCGGGUUCGGAGCCAGGAUGAGCGCUGCCGUCGCCGGGGUGCUGGAGCACAGAAGGAAGCAAAGAAGACCAAGAUUCCUGGCCCAUUGCCACUGUCCUGCUUCAAGGUCGAUAAUAAAGGAGGCCACGGGUUGGGGAUUUAGCUCAGUGGUGCCACACCUGCCUGGCAAGUGCAAGGUCCUGAGUUCGAUCCCCGGUACCAGGAAAGCAAGCAAGCAAGCAAGCAAGCUACUGCUUCUGGAGAAGAAAGAAAAAAAAUUGCCAAGAAGUGGUGAAAGUACCAAGAUGACAUGAAAUCUAUGAAAAAGCUGCUGCCACCUGGUGGACAGAGCUGAUUGAACUCCUGGGCUCAAGUGAUCCUCCUGCCUCAGCCUCCAGAGUACCUGGGACUACAGUUCCUGCCACUGGCUCAGCUUGGAUUUUUUAUUUUAGCCCCAGUGGUACCCCGGGGAGGAAGUUAGGGGCUUAGUCCCCUCAAGGGCCUCCUCCGAAUCUGCCCUUGCUGCUGCCUCAUCCAAAAUCCAGCAAAGUCUCACCUUGGGGUGGCAGGGCCCUAACUACAUCACCCUCCCCAAGCUCACCAGGAACUCAAAGACCCUAUCUGGAGAUUAAAGCCAUUGCCACAUGCCACAUGUGACUCUCAUCGCUCCAGGAGAGGGGCGGUAUCCAGUGAGCACUGAGGCUCCAAGAGAUGGGAACGGUGAUGCCCCCGGACGUCCUGCCUGGCUUCCCUCUGUGCCACCCUCUCCCAGCUAGGCGCUUCCACACGAGGACGAGGGGACCCUCACCUGCAUCUUCUGAGAGCGGUGUCAGCAGUGGAGGCCCGAUCUCCUGCUCCACUUCCUCCAGGACCUGGUCGGCCUUCUCUUCCUCCUCCCUCAGUUCCUCCUCCUCCUCCUCCGUCUUCUGCAAAGGGUUCACCCAAGUGCAGCGGCCCUGGAGUGGGAGCAUGGUCAGGUGGUAGCCCCAGGGGACAGAGCUGGCCUGAACUGGGGAGGACACUGGGGCACCUCCCUGUCUGCGGCCCUCUUCAUUCCUUCACUGGUUCUCACUCACAUCUGUAAUGAGCACUUCCCAGAGGCGGGUGCUAGGGAUGAACCCUUGAGAAAGGGGACCUCAGAGUCUGCCCUGUGCACCACACUUGGGAGCCACGGCCUCCAUUUGCCCAUCUGUGCAGUGGGUGUCACAGAUACCUCUCAAGUUGGAUCGUUGCUGGGUUCAGGAGCCUCUCCAGACCCAAGGAAUGCUUCUUUUUGAUUUUUUGUUUGGGUUUUGCUCCAUGUGCGUGUGUGUGUGUGUGUGUGUGUGGUGCUGGGGCGGAACCCAGGACUUCGGGAAUGAACAUGUGAACAAGUGCACGGCACAGAGCAGACUUCCGCUCCCUCUGCUAUGAAAUGGGAAUGGUAGUCAUACUGAUCUCUAAAGGAGUUAAAUGGAUUCAAUAAAACAUUGUAAAGUCA